UUUUACCCAGUAUGCUUACGCCGAUUGACUUCUUGUCCGGAUUCAAAACUCUGGGCAGUUUACGGUUACUAGGAGCAAUGGGUCCGUUGCUAUGUGGUCUAGUUUUCUGUAAUUUUACACUUAUAAUUAAUUCUCAAAUUACCACUACACACAAACGAGAGAAAACGAACAUUUAAUAAAUGUAAACAAGAUAAACACCGCGACCACUGUACAGAGUUAUCCCGAUCUGACUGAUUCAGCAAUCCGAUUGACAUCAGAAAGUGCCUUUUUAGAUUCUUGUAAGAUCGGUUCCACUGCCGACCCGACUGCUGAAAGCAUUUCCCGGUCUACCUCCACCGACUUGAAUCUUACCGCUUCUGACAGCGAGAUAUCGACUGGGAAAGAGGUUACCAAACAGUCUUACUGGUAGUAACACCCGCCCUUAGAAUGAUCCAUAGGAAACCAGCCUGCCGAAAACAUUUCUCUGACACUUGCAGUUUGCAGGACUGGGAGUUGCAGUACGUGCUGACAUAUUCAACAGCAGCGUAGCUGAAGCGCACAUGUUUGUAGUUUUAUGUAUGUUUUGUGUUCUGUUGUAACUAUUUCUCCAGUGUCCAGUCUGUGCCCCUGUGAUUUGUUGGAGGGUCAGUGUGAUGUCCAUUGCUGCUGCGAUCCAGACUUUGCAGCAGGUGUCACUCUUUUACAACAUGCUGGCUUCAGAAAUUGAUGUUAGUUUAUUAUUCUUAUUCUUAUUCCAGUUAUAGGCAACCUGUUCUUUUGCAUUUCAGGAUUGGCAGAGAUUCCAAGCAGUGAAUUCAGUUCUACAGAGCAGUCUGUCUGUAUGGUAUUACUGAGAAUAGCCAGCUCUGCAGUCAGCAAGCAGCUGUCUACUACCUCAAUGUGACAAACAGUUCAACACAAAGAACAUUCACCUUGACUGACCAGGUCAAUCCACCUGUCUUCUGCAUGCAGACAGCCAACUAACUGCAACAUCCCCCCGUUUUUAGACAUCGUAGUGCAGUGGACAAUUUACAGGUCCCCGGUCAAUCCACAAGCUCAGAAUGUGAGCGUGACUGAAAAACUCAACUCUGUCAGCCUGGGAGCACUGAAGCCUAAGUUACUGCAUGAAUUCCUGUGUGUACCACAGCAGGGCUCUAGCGGAGCAGCGUUACCGUUGACGAUCCUGG